CAACGCAGAGUUCAUGGGGAACACUACACCUGCUGUUGUUGCAAUGAGAGCAGCAUUAAAGUAAUCAGACCAUUGACGCUGAAAAUAUAUUGAUAUAAAUCUAGACUUCUCCAGCUAUUGCAUGUACCUGUUGUUAAUAUACAUGAUACUUGUCUAUCUUCUGUUUGUAGAUUUACUAAAUGUAAGUUGUGUCCGUGCAAGGUUUUCUUCUUAAAUAAAUAUACUUUUUGAGC